AGUCGAACGAACUUAAUACAUUCUUUUAGAUUGUAAGCGGUUAGUGGCGGACUGGUGAGUAACGCGUGAGUAACCUGCCUAUUAGAGGGGAAUAACAGUGAGAAAUCAUUGCUAAUACCGCAUAUGCUCACAGUAUCGCAUGAUACAGUGAGGAAAGGAGCAAUCCACUAAUAGAUGGACUCGCGUCUGAUUAGCUAGUUGGUGAGGUAGAAGCUUACCAAGGCGACGAUCAGUAGCCGGACUGAGAGGUUGAACGGCCACAUUGGGACUGAGAUACGGCCCAGACUCCUACGGGAGGCAGCAGUCGGGAAUAUUGCGCAAUGGAGGAAACUCUGACGCAGUGACGCCGCGUAUAGGAAGAAGGUUUUCGGAUUGUAAACUAUUGUCGUUAGGGAAGAAAAAAGACAGUACCUAAGGAGGAAGCCCCGGCUAACUAUGUGCCAGCAGCCGCGGUAAUACAUAGGGGGCAAGCGUUAUCCGGAAUUAUUGGGCGUAAAGGGUGCGUAGAUGGGUGUUUAAGUUGGUUGUGAAAUCCCUCGGCUCAACUGAGGAACUGCAACCAAAACUGGAUAUCUUGAGUGUCGGAGAGGAAAGUGGAAUUCCUAGUGUAGCGGUGAAAUGCGUAGAUAUUAGGAGGAACACCAGUGGCGAAGGCGACUUUCUGGACGAUAACUGACGUUGAGGCACGAAAGUGUGGGGAGCAAACAGGAUUAGAUACCCUGGUAGUCCACACUGUAAACGAUGGAUACUAGGUGUAGGGUGUAUUAAACAUUCUGUGCCGCCGCAAACGCAUUAAGUAUCCCACCUG
rnacentral:rRNA from 1 species